rnacentral:misc_RNA from 1 species
GCAAACUUGGUCAUUUAGAGGAAGUAAAAGUCGUAACAAGGUUUCCGUAGGUGAACCUGCGGAAGGAUCAUUACAUGACUGAUUGAUGAGAGUAUGGUCUUUUGGCCAUGCUCUCUCAUCUUUCUCCUCUCUCUUGUUGUUUUCUUCUUGGUUGCUUUGGUGGGUUUUAGGACCCACCAAGGGAAAUCCUUAAACCAUUCUUUGUGACUGAAUUGGUCUGACUCUUGUCUGUCAAAAUCUAAAUAUUGAAAAACACACCUUUCAACAAUGGAUCUCUUGACUCUGGCAUCGAUGAAGAACGCAGC